GAUGAACGCUGGCGGCGUGCCUAACACAUGCAAGUCGAGCGAACAGACGAGGAGCUUGCUCCUCUGACGUUUGCGGCGCAGGGGUGAGUAACAUGUGGAUAACCUACCUAUAAGACUGGGAUCACUUCGGGACAGCGGAGCUAACACCGGAUAACAUCGUGAACCACAUGGUUCAACAGUGAAAUACGGCCUUGCGGUCAGUUAUAGAUGGAUCCGCGCCGCAUUAGCUAGUUGGUAAGGUAAGGGCUUACCAAGGCGACGAUGCGUAGCCGAGCUGAGAGGGUGAUCGGCCACACUGGAACUGAGACACGGUCCAGACUCCUACGGGAGGCAGCAGUAGGGAAUCUUCGGCAAUGGGCGAAAGCCUGACGGAGCAACGCCGCGUGAGUGAAGAAGGUCUUCGGAUCGUAAAGCUCUGUUAUUAGGGAAGAACAAAUGUGUAAUUAACUGUGCACGGCUUGACGGUACCUGAUCAGAAAGCAACGGCUAACUACGUG
rnacentral:rRNA from 1 species